AACGAACGCUGGCGGCGCGCCUAAUACAUGCAAGUCGAGCGAGAAGACGUAGCAAUACGUUUGUAAAGCGGCGAACGGGUGAGGAAUACAUGGGUAACCUACCCUAGAGUGGGGAAUAACUAGCCGAAAGGUUAGCUAAUACCGCGUACGCUCCUUGGACUUCGGUUCAGGGAGGAAAGCGAUACCGUGGGUAUCGCGCUCUUGGAUGGGCUCAUGUCCUACCAGCUUGUUGGGAGGUAACGGCUCACCAAGGCUUCGACGGGUAGCUGGUCUGAGAGGACGAUCAGCCACACUGGCACUGCGACACGGGCCAGACUCCUACGGGAGGCAGCAGUAAGGAAUAUUGCGCAAUGGGCGAAAGCCUGACGCAGCGACGCCGCGUGGGGGAUGAAGGUCUUCGGAUUGUAAACCCCUUUCGGGAGGGAAGAUGGAACGAGCAAUCGUUCGGACGGUACCUCAGAAGCAGCCACGGCUAACUUCGUGCCAGCAGCCGCUGUAA
rnacentral:rRNA from 1 species